AAACUCAAAGGAAUUGACGGGGGCCCGCACAAUCGGUGGAGCAUGUGUUUAAUUGGAUGCAAGGCGCAGAACCUUACCAGCCCUUGACAUGUGGAGUUUGGUUAUCAGAGAUGAUUUCCUUCAGUUCGGCUGGCUCCAACACAGGUGCUGCAUGGCUGUCGUCAGCUCGAGUCGUGAGAUGUUGGGUUAAGUCCAGCACCGAGGGCAACCCUCAUCUUUAGUCGCCAUCAGUUGGGCUGGGCACUCUAUAGAAACUGCGUGGGAUGCCCAGGAGGAAGGCGAGGAUGACGUCAAGUCCUCAUGGCCCUUAUGGGCUGGGCUACACACGUGCUACAAUGGCGGUGACAAAGGGACGCAAUAGGGCAACCUGGAGCAAAUCCAUAAAAGCCGUCUCAGUUCGGAUUGUUCUCUCCAACUCGAGAGCAUAAAGUUGGAAUCGCUAGUAAUCGUAGAUCAGCAUGCUACGGUGAAUAGGUUCCCGGGCCUUGUACACCCCGCCCGUCACUCCAUGGGAGUUGGUUUUACCCGAAGACGGUAUCUUAACCUUUUAGGAGGGAGCCGGCCACGGUAGGGUCAGCGACUGGGGUGAAGUCGU
rnacentral:rRNA from 1 species